rnacentral:rRNA from 1 species
UACGAAGGGGGCUAGCGUUGUUCGGAAUUACUGGGCGUAAAGCGCACGUAGGCGGCUCUUUAAGUCGGGGGUGAAAUCCUGGAGCUCAACUCCAGAACUGCCUUCGAUACUGAAGAGCUCGAGUCCGGGAGAGGUGAGUGGAACUGCGAGUGUAGAGGUGAAAUUCGUAGAUAUUAGGAAGAACACCAGUGGCGAAGGCGGCUCACUGGUCCGGUACUGACGCUGAGGUGCGAAAGCGUGGGGAGCAAACAGG